CUUGGCCCGGUUUCAUUCAUGGCCCACUGGAUAUCCAAAAGGUGUAUGACUUCUACAAAAUUGUCUGAAACCUCUUCUUAGUCCUCGCUCUGCUUGGCCCCUUUUUUUUCUUGUCAGGUAGUGUACACAAAGCCUUACUUUGAAUUGUUAUUUAAGGUGAUUGUUUUUCUUCCUGAAUACAUUUCCCAUCUCUCUUUCUUUCUUUCUCUUCUCCCCUCAGGUUUCUUAUCCAUCCCAAAAAUUGGCUUGGUACCGCUUUCGGAACUCAGACCAUCUGGUAGCCAUCACAGCCUCCUGUUGAGAUCAUGGAAACUGGUUCCGCCAUGCUGCUGCUGCCACUGCCUCCCUCAGCUGCACAUGUCACAUUUCAGCACCAUGCGGCGGUGGGCAUAAAGCCCAUUGGCACUAACACAGCAAAGCAACGGAGGAGCACAGGUAAGAGGGUCCUGGAAAAAUUAUAAGGCCCCAAUCCAGCCACAGUCAAGUACUUCUGGUUUCACUGAAAUCAUUUUCACUGAUUUCAGUUCCAGAGCUGAGCACGUGCUUUAACUCUCGCUCAGACACAUUUGUACAUGCAUACGCAGAGAGAGAGAAAUUGGUGGGAAUUAAAAGCUCUUAUCUUCGACUGGAUUGCUCCCCAUUUAAAUCCUGUCCCAUUUUAUUUGGAAACAAUCUGCUUCAAUAGACUGGGUAUAAGGAAUUAUUCCGUAUGAGAAAAAGGAUAGAGGGUCUUCUCUGUGGGCCUGGCUUUCAGACUGUAAACUCAACUAGCCUCUCUGAAUCCUAUCUUGACCUCACAGAGCUAGACCAAAGCAGCCUGGCUCUACUUGUUCAGAACUAUGAAAGGCCCCUUCUUACAGGCAAGGGAAGGUGGAAGAGAUUGAAGACAUCAGGGUUUGCCUCAGACUUUAGUAGUCCCUCUGCCCCCAACACUGAUUUGAAGUUUUGCCAAGAUUUGCUAUAACCCCUGCCACCCUUAGGCCCCCCACCCCACCCCAAACUGCUGCUACCAGUUGACUUCUCCUGGACAUCCUCACCGAAGUGUAGGGUGACACUGCUUGGGUCCCAUCCACUGCAGGUAACCACUAUGUUGUAAAGGUAAAGGACCACUGACAGGUAAGUCCAGUCGCAGACGACUCUGGGCUUGCAGCGCUCAUCUCGCUUUACAGGCUGAGGGAGCCAGCAUUUGUCCACAGACAGCUUUCCGGGUCGUGUGGCCAGCAUGACUAAACCUCUUCUGGUGCAACAGAACACUGAAACCAGAGCAGCGCACAGAAACACUGUUUACUUUCCCGCCAGAGCAGUACCUAUUAAUCUACUUGCACUUUUUUGCAUGCUUUCAAACUGCUAGGUUGACAGGAGCUGGUACUGAGCAACGGGAGCUCCCCCCGUCGCGGGGAUUCGAACUGCCGACCUUCUGAUCGGCAAGCCCAAGAGCCACUCAUCUGGUGCCAGCUUACUUGGAGGAGUUUGUCAAGACGCAUUUGGACAGGAUACCUACCACAUGAUGGGUUCCCACUCCAGGUGGUUGUUGAUGAUGGUCAGGCAAAUACCAUUACCCUUGAUCCCUUCUAAAAUUAACCAAGAUGACACUAGACUUACUUUUGCAUAUUACAGUGUAAGAGGUUUUAACAUUGGCACUAUAACUCAUGAGAUGCAUGCAUGUAUGUAUUUAAUAUGCCUGGUAUAAGAAAUUUAAAUAGCAGCCAUGGGAGGGCUGGGGAGGGAGAAUUCAAACAUACACACACACACACACACACACACACGCGCACACACACACACACACACACACACUGGUGCAGCAGUCUUGAUGGGGGAAGGAAAUUCCCAAUGCUGCUGCCCCCCCCCCCGGCAGACUGGAAGCUGCCAUUGGCUGGUGAUUUUUUUUUAAAUGAAAGGUUGACAGCCCUGUUUAUGGCCAUAUAAUUAUAAUUUUUUAUGAAGCUUCUGAUCCUGGCAGUUGUUAUCCUUUGGGGUUGUAUAUCUCUCCUACCUUAAAACUGUCAUUUUUCCUAUUACAUAACAAAAAUAGCUGGCUUGGUGCCUUUUGAGGAGAGACUGUUGAGGUGUUUAUUACCAUCAGUCCCCCUCUCCCAAAGUGCAAGGGCGUUGUUCACUCAGCACUGAAACUGCUGGGAAUGGAGGUGGGGGAAGAGUAUCGGCUUUCCUACUUUGGAAUAGAUCUCUGAUGGACUCCGUACGUGCCGCUUUGGUUUAUUAAGCAACAUUUUAACCAGUUAAAAUAAAUUUACAAGCAUUUAUAAAAUCCCAAAAGUAAUUGGUUUUCACCCUUGAGCAAAAACAUUUCAUAACAGGCACAUUAAGCAUUAAUGUAACCAAACCUUUUUAUUGUUGACAACCACAGGACAAUCAUGUGUAAGACUAACAGUUUGUAGUUAAUAUUUAUGAUGGAGCUUAUGACUCACCUGUGGAGCAAUUAAGUGCUGCUCUUAAAGACUGAGGUUUAGGGUUUUUUUACACACACAAGAAGUAUUUUCUGCAUGCCCGUGUGAAUCUCCUGCAACUUUAGUACAUUCUUGCUUUAAACACUGAUCUUUCUAAACAUUGUACAUUAUUCUGCUGAACGGAUAACAGACAUGUUAAUUAUUGUUGAGUUUAUACUUCUAAAGACCGUUGUAUGUCUGGGUCAGACCGGAUAAUAUCAGUACAUCAAAACAGCACAUUAAACCCCAAAUUAUCAGAUCAGCUGAGGUCAGCAGAUGAGACAUACACACACACCUGUGGGUGACAGUACACAUUAUCAAAAAAUGUGAGAGUGGCAACCCCAUGUCAAGACCCAUGUAUCAAACAACAACAUGUUAACAAACUGGGUGUCCUUGAGACUUUCCCUGUCCCAGCCCUACAUCAUUGGCGCCUGCCGGCAGUGGCAGUGAAAUGCUCCGCAUAAAGUUUCUCAGGAUACUAGUAAGUCAUAUUUCAUGAUUUCAUAUUGGGGUAGCCCAUACGCUGUCUUGCAAUGUUGCUGGACUCUUUCCACCAUUCCUGUCCCUGGACCUGAUGGGAUUUUGACUCCAACAACAUGUUUCUAAGCUCUGGGAUGGAAUUUGGCAGAGGACUGUUAUUUUUUAUCUAGCCCAGAGUUUCUGAUAACAUGUAAUUCUGCCUUGCAUAAUGCCACACAAAUGGUUCUUCAUGUUUUCAGAGGGUUUGGUCCUUACAGAUUAGGUCAGGCUGACAUGGAGUCAGGGUGGUGUAGUGGUUAGAGAGUUGAACUAGGACUGAGAAGGCCAAAAAACCAAAGCGCCAUUUGGCCAUGAAGCUCACGAGGUGACUUUGGGCCACCCACAUUUUCUCAAUCUAACUACUUCACAGAAUUGUUGUGGAGAUAAAAUGAGAGCUGAAAACUAUGUACACCUUGAGCUUCCUGGAGGAAGGGUGGAAUCUAAAUGCAACAGAUAAAUACCAUACACAUCUGGGAAUUAAUGAAUCAUUAGAGCAAUCACUGCAUUUUCAUAAAGAAAGAUGGGAUCUUUUGACACCUUUUGUUUGAUGAAUUGUGUUGGCACAGUAGCAUGCCUUGAUAGUUGCAUUGAAGAUGCCUUUAUUAAGCAGUAGAGCACAAGCUUUGCACGCAGAAGGACCCAGAUUCAGCCCAUGCUGUCUCCAGUUAAAGGGUAUCAAGCAGCAGUACGUGGAAAGACUCUGAGAUCUUCCAGAGCAGAUGCCAAAAUGGGAAGAUAGAGGUAGGCAAAAUGGAGCUUUAAUGUAUGCAUUAGUUUUGGCCCAGUAUGGUUCUGGCAUCUCUUUCAGAUGCUGAACAUAGUCUUUAAAGCUUGCUUCUAUAUGAAUUAAUAAAAUAAAUUCAGGGUGACUUGUGUGGGGUGCCAUCUCGGUUGGGGCAUCACAGUGUUCAGAAAAUUAUCAGGCCCCCUGGCUGAUAUAUUAUUAAGAAUGGGCUUUGUGUAGCCUCCAGUAGGUGAACACCCACUGACCAAGCCUGGUGGUGCCUGGCCAGACCCCAGCAGCUCCAUGCCCUGUGCAUAGAAUGCAGGAUAUUAACCCAUGUUAGUCAUACAUACAUACAUACUUUAAGUUAAAUGUCAGGUUAUAAAUAAUAAAGAUUCACUACCUGGAUUACUACCAACAAUAAAAGCUAAAGUAUGAUUGUUAUAAAUGUGGAAUUUGUAGAAUAUUCCUAAAAGAUUGUAUUGUGUCUAAACUAGUAAUGCACUGAUUAGCAACACCAUUAAUUUUUCCUCCCUCUAGAGAUCUUUUUUGUCUUGCAGGUUACUAUAAUUCAACCCAGGGAUUUGUUGGACCUCAUCUGCAUCAGAGUGAGACUGUCCUUUGGGGUGAGGUAGUAGGUUGUAUAGUUUUAGGGUUAUACCCUGCCUGUCAGAUAACUAUACAAUCUACUGUCUUUCCUGAAGUGGCUGUGAUAGCGGCACAGGACGUUCCAUCACCGUAUCAGGAAACAACAUCUGUUACUGAUGCAUACGAAUGUAUGGGACAGGAGAGCGGAACCUUAAAGUAUUUGAAUCAGCCCAUCCAUUGACCUCGUUGAGCCAAGGACAUGAUUCAAGGGCCUAACACACCAACCAAAUAAUGUCCUCUUACUGAGUUGUACUUGAUAAGGGUAGCCUCUGUGUCUAGGUGUACACAUUUUGACUAACCAAACAGUAUGGUCUUCUUUAAAAUGUUUUGCAAAAAAAAUAACUCUUGUGGAAUAGAGCAUCUUUCUUUAGUACAGUAGUUCCAUAGGAAGUUUGCACAGAUCACAAUAUCCUCCAAAUGUAAAUUACAGCACUACUUGGCCACUACAGGUUUCUAGUUGAGACAGGAAUAGACCCAUUUGGCAGGUGGCAGUGAAGAAGAGGAGAGGGCCCAUUUGGUUAUCAGAGGGUGCUGCGAUGUGGCAGCAGAGGUAAAGUAUAGACCAAGACCACAUGGUAGGAAAAUCCCACACAAUAGACCUGGAGUGGUGACUCAUGAGUGGAAGCAGAAGGCAUUGCAAGGCUGCUGCUAAUCCUGAGGAGUGACUAGGAGGUGGGGAAAGGGCUGGUGGACAUAGGAAGGAGAGCAUGAGGCCAGUGCCGUACUGCAACACCUGGAGAAUGGCCAGCAGCACUAAAUACAGGUAUAGCCUAGUGGAAUGAGCACCAUCAUCCCCUCUUUGGCUCUGUUAGAUUCCUUGAACAGCAACCCCUGGUUGUCACCCAGUGGAAAUGGCAGCCUUGCCUUUCACUCCAAAUACAUUUAUGCAUCACCACAUGCAAGACUCUCUCUCUUAAUUGUGGAAGCAAAAGCCAAGAAGUAGCUGUGUUCUAUCAACGCCACCCAGUGCUUUGGCAGGAUGAGGUAGUAGGUUGUGUGGUUUCAGGGUAGUGAUUUUGCCCCAAUCAGGAGAUAACUAUACAACCUACUGCCUUCCCUGAGGAGCAGCUUUGCAGCUUGCCCAGAAAACCCAUUUCACUUUCAAGUAGACAAUCCAUGCAACAGUCCUCCCAAAGUAUCUUGAGAACUGUAUGAUUAUGCUGGGAAUUCUGUGUUGGAGAACCACUACCCCCACCUAAAAAUGCAGUCCCCAAGGACAAUAUGACUUUUAAGCCAGCUUCAAUCUAUGAAAUGGGACAGUAUGAAUUAGAGAAGAUGUUAUGGUCAUCUCCAGAGUAAACCUAUAUGUGAAAAUAGUAUUAUUUGGGAUUUUGUAUUCAGAGUUUAUAUAAUUUUAUGCCUGUCA